CCUGCCUUUCAGAGGGGGAUAACGUUCUGAAAAGAACGCUAAUACCGCAUGAGACUACAGAGCUGCAUGGCUCAGUGGUCAAAGGAGCAAUCCGCUGAAAGAUGGACUCGCGUCCGAUUAGAUAGUAGGCGGGGUAACGGCCCACCUAGUCGACGAUCGGUAGCCGGACUGAGAGGUUGAACGGCCACAUUGGGACUGAGACACGGCCCAGACUCCUACGGGAGGCAGCAUG
rnacentral:rRNA from 1 species